rnacentral:rRNA from 1 species
GUGUCAGCCGCCGCGGUAAUACGGAGGGUGCGAGCGUUGUUCGGAAUCACUGGGCGUAAAGCGCGUGUAGGCGGCCUGCUAAGUCUGAUGUGAAAGCCCGAGGCUCACCCUCGGAAGUGCAUUGGAAACUGGCAGACUGGAGUCCCGGAGAGGAGGGUGGAAUUCCUGGUGUAGCGGUGAAAUGCGUAGAUAUCAGGAGGAACACCGGUGGCGAAGGCGGCCCUCUGGACGGUGACUGACGCUGAGACGCGAAAGCGUGGGGAGCAAACAGGAUUAGAAACCCUAGUAGUCC